UGCCAACCCGGAAGAAGAACCUGGCC
rnacentral:piRNA from 1 species